rnacentral:tRNA from 1 species
GGGGUGGUGGCUUAGUGGCAGAACAUCUGCUUGGCAUGCACAAUAUCCCGGGUUCAAUCCCCGGCCUCUCCA